GGAUAAAAAAAUUUUGACUAUUUCUACCGUUAAAAAUUGCGUUACUGACAAAAUAAUCAAAUAAUUACAUGUGGUAUGCCACGUGUGCCUCAUUCUAAUAUAUAAGGAUCGAUCUUUAAUAGUAAAAAUAGAUGAAUUUUUUUAACA
rfam:Gossypium hirsutum cultivar TM-1 chromosome 15, whole genome shotgun sequence